rnacentral:tRNA from 1 species
GCAGUAGUGGCUCAGUGGUAGAACUCCCGCCUCCCAUGUGGGAGACCCAGGGUCGGUUCCCGGCCAGUGUA